AAAAGAAAUCAGGGGUGCCGGGAGAACCUGGCUGAGAGUAAACUACGAGAAUGUUUAGACCCUUAACCUGAUCUGGGUAAUGCCAGCGUAGGGAGAAUAUUGAAACACAAA
rfam:Clostridium nexile CAG:348 genomic scaffold, scf8